GCUGGCACUAGUUGGAAGGGAAACUGCUUCAGGCUAGGGUAGUUCAAGGAAGGCGAGAGGGGCGAAAGGCCUCAGCCAGGUGGGGUUGUUGUGGAAACAGCACAGCCAAUGGACAAGAGCAAGAAGACUUAGUAAGCUGAGAAUUCUGGGAGUCAAUAUGGAGAGCCCCAGACUCCAGGAACAAGCUGAAGAUGGUGACUGCCAGGGAACUAGAAAGCAACGGAAAG
rnacentral:lncRNA from 1 species